rnacentral:tRNA from 4 species
CGGGGUGUGGUCCAGCGGUAGGAUGCGCGCUUCGGGUGCGUGCGGCCUCGGUUCGAUUCCGAGCACCCCGA